UGCCUCAGUAACGGCGAGUGAAGCGGCAACAGCUCAAAUUUGAAAUCUGGCCGCAAGGUCCGAGUUGUAAUUUGCAGAGGAUGCUUUUGGCGAGGUGCCUUCCGAGUUCCCUGGAACGGGACGCCAUAGAGGGUGAGAGCCCCGUACGGUAGGACCACCGAGCCUUUGUAAAGCUCCUUCGACGAGUCGAGUAGUUUGGGAAUGCUGCUCUAAAUGGGAGGUGUACGUCUUCUAAAGCUAAAUACCGGCCAGAGACCGAUAGCGCACAAGUAGAGUGAUCGAAAGAUGAAAAGCACUUUGAAAAGAGGGUUAAAAAGUACGUGAAAUUGUUGAAAGGGAAGCAUUCAUGACCAGACUUGGGCUUGGUUGAACAUCCGGCGUUCUCGCCGGUGCACUCUGCCAGUCCAGGCCAGCAUCAGUUUGCCCCGGGGGACAAAGGCGGUGGGAAUGUGGCUCUCUCCGGGGAGUGUUAUAGCCCGCCGUGUAAUGCCCUGGGGCGGACUGAGGAACGCGCUUCGGCUCGGAUGCUGGCGUAAUGGUCAUCAAUGACCCGUCUUGAAACACGGACCAAGGAGUCGUCUUCGUAUGCGAGUGUUCGGGUGUCAAACCCCUACGCGAAA
rnacentral:rRNA from 1 species